CAGUCGCCGCGGUAAUACGUAGGGUGCAAGCGUUAAUCGGAAUUACUGGGCGUAAAGCGUGCGCAGGCGGUUUUGUAAGACAGAGGUGAAAUCCCCGGGCUCAACCUGGGAACUGCCUUUGUGACUGCAAGGCUAGAGUACGGCAGAGGGGGAUGGAAUUCCGCGUGUAGCAGUGAAAUGCGUAGAUAUGCGGAGGAACACCGAUGGCGAAGGCAAUCCCCUGGGCCUGUACUGACGCUCGUGCACGAAAGCGUGGGGAGCAAACAGGAUUAGAUACCCGUGUAGUCCCUGUCUCUUAUAC
rnacentral:rRNA from 1 species